UAAAAUAUAAAAUAACUAAAAAACUUCUUUCCCUUUAUAAAUCCAAAGAGAAAAUAUAUUUUUUUAGUGACUAUUGGCUAUUGUUUUCAUGUCCGUAUCUCAUUUUCUCUCCUAAAACAUCUCUCCUCAAGAAAGCUUCUUUCCCUUUAUAAAUCCAAUAGCCACUAAAAAAUUCAUCUUCCUAUACACCUACCAUAAUUACUCCCAUAACUAAACUAAAGUACCUAGCCACAAACCAAACUAUCUAAUAACUACACA
rnacentral:lncRNA from 1 species